GGGGACUUAGCUCAGUGGUAGAGCGCUUGCCUAGCAAACGCAAGGCCCUGGGUUCGGUCCCCAGCUCCG
rfam:Rattus norvegicus chromosome 4, whole genome shotgun sequence.